GGGAAGGUGUUGGGUGCACGAUCCGGAGCAGUAGCCUUCGCUAAGGUGCUAUCUCAUUAACGGGUUGUGGUCCGCAUCGCUACUGAAACUCUAGCGGGCUACCAGUUACCUGCGUGUCUUUGUAAAGGCUUCGUAGUGGACCCCCCUAGCCACUCACCAAAGGAAGUGUUUAAGGGCUUUGCAAACCCGGGCGACACGGGGGACCACGAGUUGUGGGUAAAGUGUACAACCUCUGCAGAGUGAAAACUGAUAUAUCAGCCGUGCUCACGGUUAAGAGCGGCUUGGACCCUCACAUGAUAAUUGAACUUAAAGAUGAGAUUAAACUGUGUUACCUUUACCUUUGGGUUAAUGUUAAUGUUAUAUGCUUAAUUGGGUUGGUAUAAACCUACAUCUAGUAAUUAGGUGCUGCUAAAUAAAAUUUGACCAACUAAAAUGCUAAUCGCUUAAAGCCUUGAGCCAUUCCUCGUGAGCCUUGCAUGUUUCCC
rnacentral:lncRNA from 1 species